CGCUCUAUAAGUUUUCUUUAUGUGAAAUGUUUCAUUUACCGUUUUUCUUAAUUAUUUAUUAUUCUUAAUUUUUUCACAUAAAAAGUAAGAAUUAUGCGAUGAUUAGUUAGAAAAACUACUUUUAGACAUCAAUUCAUAAUAAAAUAUACAAUUUUUUAUUGUUCUAGGGCAGAAAAAUUAAUUAUUUCUUGCAAAUAUCUAAAGAAAAGCACAUUUUCAUGCUUAUACAAUUUAGAAACACCCUGUACAUCAAGGUAUGUUUAUAUCUACAUUAUUAUUGCAAUUUGAUAUCAUCUGGCUAAUAUUUUGUUCUCGAAUAAUUUUUGCGCGUGGACUGUGCAUGAUUUUCUUAUCAAAAUAUUUUUAGAAAUUGAUAUUGGCACUUAAACAUACUCCUGCAAUCUAAAUGAGUGUGCAAGUGAAAUUUAUAUGAAAUAACAAAUGUAUAUGUUGUUUAUGUUUUACCGUCGUAAUAAUCGUGAACAAAAGAGGGACGUAGGCAAAUUAGGCAAAACAUCACAUCUCAGUUGAGCGUUUGUUUAAAGUAAGUUUUAAUCAUUUAGUUAUAUUAAACUAUUGCAUUUUAUAGUGUUAUCAUAAUAUACUUUGAACAAAGUCGUCAAAUAUAACAAAUAAUGAUCAUUUUUAGUUUUAGUUUUGUUUUUAAGUUUUUAUUCAAGUCACGAUGAUAAUUGCAAUUAUUUUUUAAUAUUCAACGUAAAAUCAUCAAAUUUAUAAUAAAAAAUAACCAGGAACUGGAAACUGGAAAUUUCGGGAGAAAAUUGUUCAAGUUUUAUUCCAACGAUGAUUCAAAUAUUUCCAGUAAACGUGGAUGUGAUCAGCGUCACAAGUCUUUUCUUCUUCGUGCCGGAGAGUCACACCCACAUGCCAGCGGUAUGUUCACAGAACACAAGAAAUAGAGAACGUUUACAAUUUUAUAGCGUCAUUCUCUCACAUAUAUCUCUUUUGAUACUUACGCUCGCAUCUCGUCGACGACACGUCGCUGUUUGUUACAGUGUUGCUUGUUAAGUACACUGCGGCCGUACCACUAAUGCCCUCGACUGUUUGCCCACGUCGCACUUAGCUUGAAGCCUUAUCGAGGCGUCGACUGUCGACAACCAUGAAGCCGACUGACAUUGAAACCGUUAAAGGUGUAUUUAGGUAGUCUUUGUCUCCUCUAAAGGUAUAUUGAUAGAUAAAAUAUAUUUAAAACAUGUUUCUUCAAA